rnacentral:misc_RNA from 1 species
GAUGAAGAACGCAGCGAAAUGCGAUAAGUAGUGUGAAUUGCAGAAUUCAGUGAAUCAUCGAAUCUUUGAACGCACAUUGCGCCCUUUGGUAUUCCAAAGGGCAUGCCUGUUCGAGCGUCAUUUGUACCCUCAAGCUUUGCUUGGUGUUGGCGUCUUGUCUCUAGCUUUGCUGGAGACUCGCCUUAAAGUAAUUGGCAGCCGGCCUACUGGUUUCGGAGCGCAGCACAAGUCGCACUCUCUAUCAGCAAAGGUCUAGCAUCCAUUAAGCCUUUUUUUUCAACUUUUGACCUCGGAUCAGGUAGGGAUACCCGCUGAACUUAAGCAUAUCAAUAAGCGGAGGA